rnacentral:tRNA from 1 species
GCGCCCGUAGCUCAAUUGGAUAGAGUGACUGACUACGGAUCAGUAGGUUAGGGGUUCGACUCCCUUCGGGCGCA